ACAGCACAAUUUUAUGUAGAGAGAAAUGUGUAAUUAUGCAUACAACUUGCAGCCAGUUUUUACACAAAAGACAAUUAAUUUUCCCCUGCCUAAAUGGAAUCAGGGUUUGAACAACAAAAACAUCCAUAGCAUGGCUAUCAAAAAUAGAGACAGGCUAUUAAUUAACAAGACUCAAGACAACUCUUCCAUCACCCAUCAAACUCACACCACUAUCCCAUCAUCCAUCCAACUUGAAAACCAAACGCAAGACAAACAGCAAACUGAAUUUCCAUGCUUGAGACUUAUGCUUCCUCAUCGCCAUCUCCAUCUUCACUUGAUUCUUCAUCCACAAUACCAGCCACCGCUGAACAAAGAAACAAUCAUGGAAGAACAAGUCAGUAGGCUGAGAAAGCAUGCAUCUUAUGGUCUGAUUACACAUUCACUAUUUUCAGUUGUGCCACUAACUGAAAUAUAUUUAUGAUAUAUUAAUAUCUAUUCCCGAAUCACAACUAUAUAUAUAAAAGGAAGUUAAGGUACGUACCUGGAGGAUAGUAGAAGCUAACGUAGGGUAAGAUGGUCCAUUUGACAUUCAGAUCUUGAUUCAGCCAGCUGGAGAGCAUCUUCAAAGGUGAUGUCAGUGACUUGAGAUCAAUUUCGUAGGUGCCGAGACUUGUGGUUGCAAAAAUGAUGUCAGUACCCUCGAUGGAGCCAACCAAGUCUGGUGAUAUCUUGAAAUCACCAGCGGGAAGAAGAGUCUCGAGGUCGAUGUCUCUGCGUUCUGCCCACGACGCAACUCCAUCGGGAUCCACCUCUCUCCACCAGAUGGAGAGGUCGGAAUAGAACAGGUCUGCGAGCCCUAGCCGACCGUCGUCCGAUGCGAUGAGAAUUGGACUGUUGCUGGCAUCCUGCAUCUCAUCCGACAGAUUAAUCUCUGACAGACAAGAGGUUCCCAAGUCGUACUUGAGAAUACUGCAACCUUCAAACGCCUGGUCCCGGAACAGGAGGAAAUAGAGCGCAUCUCCUGCGAGUACACUAGGCGUGCAGCAAUCGAUUUCCUCCUCAAACAUACCAAGGUCGGUGAUGGCCAGAGAGCUCCAACUAGCCGUCUCCGAUGAGUACACGCACGCCGUAGCGACCUCCUCUUCGUGGUGAAGGAAGACGAAAAUGACGCGGAAUGGACCCGAUUGGCAGUCACCAUGGCGGCAGUUGUCCGCCGCACAGAGCACCGAGGCAGACCAGCUUCUCGUUCCCAUCUUCUCGAGCCUGCCAAGCAAUGUUUCGCUGCCCGUAAUGGGGUCCCAGACAACCAGCAAUGGGAUAUUCGUAUCCUCAUCGAUGUACCGAAGGAGGACGCGGCCGUGGCGACAAUCUUCCACGGAAUAGUGCUGCCGGGGGUCGAGAUCGGGCGCAGCGAAAUCCGUCGUGGGGAUGAACUCGGCGCAGGGUUCCGGCCAGAUGUGGAAGAAGCCAAGCAUGGGAGGUGUUCGGUGGAAAUCACCGUAGCGGCGACGGAAGCCGUCGGCGGCGAGGAGGUCGUGCCAUUGCUUACUGACGAGGGAGGAGCGGAGGAGAUUACCUGGCUCGUCCUUAGGGAGGCGGAUGAGGAUCUCCUCCACGAGCUCCUCAAUCUCGCCCAGCUCCGCCGCCAUCGUCGUGUGUGCCUGCGGGCUGCGGCGGCCGAAUGGAUUUUGGAGGAUUUUUUGGUGUUAGGGUUUCGGAGUUGGAGAGGACCAAGAGGAGUGAGGAGAAGUUCUG
rnacentral:lncRNA from 1 species